UUUGAUCGGCGAGAACGUGUGGUGCGGACUCUGGUCAAGUGGUGUCAACGUGGGCAGCACGUUCCGAGCUAAAUUGUUUUGAAGAAAUGGUUCCCGGAAGAUGGUGCUGGUGCCGCGCCGGUGACGAUUUGUUUUCUGUUUCUCGAAAUGAGGGACGAUUACUGGAACGUAACUAAAAUACCUGCGAUUUACUAGUGUGAGCGUGAGUUACCGUCGACGACGACUCUAUUCCGUUCAGCAAUAUCAGCAACAACAGCAACAAAAUCAUCAAUGAGAAAGGAAAACAACCUCAAACGAAACCAUUGAAAAAAGCAAAACGAAGUACGGCGUCAAAGCUGAGCUGAUGAUGACGGAGGCAAAAACACAACGAAUUCGAAAAUGAUCGAGAGAUUGAGGAAGAAAGAAGUAGUUUUAUGUGUAAUAAUUAUAUAUUUUCAAUGAUUAUAUAUCUUUAAUAAAAAAGGUAGUUGAA